GAGUGUAGAUAAUUUUUGGAAUCACAAUACUUGUGUAGCAACAUUCCAAGAAGGAGAAAUGACCUAAGAAGAAAUACAUAGGUGUGUGAAGGCUUUUGUCAGUCUUUAUCACUGUAAUGAGGGCAAGGUUUUCAAUAAUAGUGAAACAGUAGAAAAGUAGUGCUGGAGCUGCCCACAUUUCCAAAUGUGGAAGGCUGAAGAAAC